rnacentral:rRNA from 1 species
CCUACGGGAGGCAGCAGUAGGGAAUUUUCCGCAAUGGGCGAAAGCCUGACGGAGCAAUACCGCGUGAGGGAUGACGGCCUGUGGGUUGUAAACCUCUUUUCUCAAGGAAGAAGUUCUGACGGUACUUGAGGAAUAAGCAUCGGCUAACUCUGUGCCAGCAGCCGCGGUAAUACAGAGGAUGCAAGCGUUAUCCGGAAUCACUGGGCAUAAAGCGUCUGUAGGUUGUUUAGUAAGUCUGCUGUUAAAGACUGGGGCUUAACCCCAGAAAAGCAGUGGAAACUGCUAGACUCGAGUGUGGUAGAGGUAGAGGGAAUUCCUAGUGUAGCGGUGAAAUGCGUAGAUAUUAGGAAGAACACCAAUGGCGAAGGCACUCUACUGGGCCAUAACUGACACUGAGAGACGACAGCUAGGGGAGCAAACGGGAUUAGAUACCCCGGUAGUCCUAGCCGUAAACGAUGGAUACUAGAUGUUGCACGUAUUAACCCGUGCAGUAUCGUAGCUAAGGCGUUAAGUAUCCCGCCUGGGAAGUACGCUCGCAAGNGUGAAACUNAAUGAAUUGACGNUGAGAGUGCGACGACGACACGAGGGAGAGG